UCUCUUAAUGCUGUUGUUUUAAGGGAAAAGUGACAUUGUUUUCUCCACACGAGGUGAUAAUAGAUUUUAAUGAAAAAUUUAGUUCGUAUCAAAGGACUUUAUUCAAGAAUACAUGCUUUGGUGCCUUCAUUGAUUCGAGGGAAAUAAUCUUGCAACCACAGUUGACACCAGUUGCUGCUCAGACAAGUUAAGCAGCCAAAUUCAAAUGAAAUGUGGUUUCAUAUCUAUGAUAAACUAGUGAAAUUUUCAAUCAAAGAGUUCUGUUUGAUAUCAAGGUUUAAGUGUACUAGAAAAGGUGAUCUAACUCGAUAUAGAAUGAAGAGUCAUUUAAAAGAACAAUACUUCAAAGAUUACGAAAGUGUCACAACAAAAGAGGUUCUAGAAGUGUUUUUUAAUUUGCAUGCUGACACUGUAGAUAAAGAUGUUGUGGAUAUAGGCAUAGUUUAUUUGAUUACAUCCUUCAUUUUUGGUACAUCCUAUCAUAAGGGAGUUCAUGACUCUUUUUUUGCCUUGUGGAGUCUGAGGAUUUGAAUUAUUUUCCAUGGUGUAUAGAAAUUUUUAAUAUGACUCUACCAUCCCCAAAGAGUGCAUUUAAUCAGAAAAUGAAGAAUAUUUUUAUUGAAAAUAAGUUUUUGGAGUAUAGAUUGAUGGUUUCUUAGUUUCUUUUCAAAUAUGGAUUUAUGAAACAAUUCCUGCUAUUGUUCGAAAAAAUUACUGCAUUAAGCAUGAAUCUCAGCGUCCUCGGAUAUUGAGUCGGAGUUGUAAUCAACAUGUGACAUCUGUGGGGUUAAGGAAUAGCAUUUUUGAUUUGAUUAAAGUAAGUUUUUUAUCCUUUUAUUGUUUAUAUUAUGUCUUUAGUUUAUCUUUUGUUGUUAUUAAUAUGAUUAUGUAUUUUUCAGUUGGAAGUGAAUCAAAUUGUGCCUCUUGAGACCGAGAAGGGAGAAGAGUAUGUGGUUGGUUUAUUUAUUGAAGGUUUGGGUGGUGACCAAGAUGAUGAUAAUUUUGAGCAUCCUAUUGUUUGCCUGAAAAAGUUAAUAGAUUAAGGGAAAAAAAAUCAGUUGACUGAGUUGGAAGGUCUACAGAAAAGAAAAACAAAGGGAAGACUGAUGAGCAAGUCCAGCAAUCAAAUGAAAACUUUUGAAACGGCUAUCGGAGGUUGAACUGAAAUUUGUUCAAUCAAAUGAUUUGAUUUUAAAAUGAAUCUCAGAUCUUGAAGUUAGAAUCCAAUCAAGUCCAAUUGAGAACCGGCUAAAAGAUGUUGAAGAAAGGGUUAAAACAAAUGAAGAAGUGAUGGAACGUCUACAAAUUUUGGAACGCAAGGUAAAGAAGAUGUUAGCUGGUAAUGAAGGACAAAUGAAGGAUGGCGUGGAGAGUUUACCUGAUGAAACGGAUCAGGUAUUAGCUAGUAAUGAAGAAGAAAUGAAGAUAUUCAACAGUUAUUGAGUUUAGAAUUUAUACUUGUGACUUUUUGCUGAAUUUUGUUUUUCAAGUUAUUAACACUUUUUGAUUAUCUUCGUGACUUUUUUUGUGGGAUGGUGUGGAGAGAUUAUCUGAUGAAACAAAUCAAAUGUUAGCUGGUAAUGAAGAACAAACGAAGGAUGUUACAUCACCAUCUAAUAAAGACAGAAUUGAAUUGUUGGAGGAGGUUGAAUUGAAAGAUGAUGUUUGGGAGAUAGUUGUGGAAGUCACGGCUACAAUUGAAGCUGAAACUGAAAUUGAAGAGGGAAAUGUUGAAACCAUUGAUAUUGAUGAUGUGACCCAGACAUGCAUUUGAAAAGACAAAAGAAACCUCUUCUUCAGUCCUCCUUGGGUCAAUGAAUUUGAUUCUACAUUGGGGACUAAGAAACAUGUUGUUAAAGAUAAUUUUGCAUUCCCGGUUGGUGUUGGCCCUCUGAUGGCACAUGAUGUUGAUACUUUUGAGCUUUGGUAUAACAAAGGAUUGGUAAAGAAAAAUCAGUAAGUUGUUACUAAUAUAUGUUGUUUGUGAAAUUUUUCCAGUAUAGUAACUUUCAUGUGACUUUUUCCAUUUUGUUAUGUAGGAAAAAAAUAUUUCAAUGAUGAAAAUUUCUUUAUCAAUCAUACUUUUAUUUUAGUGACAUUGCAAUCUCUAAAAAACAAUGUUGGUAUGAGUUGUUUACUCCAAAUGAAUGUUUGGAAAUGUUGGUGUUUUUAAGAUUAUUUUGUUUGAUUUUAUUAUUAUUGUUGAUUUUGUCAUUUUUCUCUUUUUUGUAGCAUAUUGAUGUGUGUUUCUAUUCUUUAAGAAAGUUUUUAAGAUAUGGAGAAGGGAUAAACAUAAAGGCUAUAACCAUAGAUUUUCCGUUUGAUAGCCAAAUGAGAGGUCUUUAUGCCGACUUUUACCAAGAUAAGUCAGCUAUAAAAAAUCAGACUUCUCUUCUUUCAUAUGUUAUUGGGUUGUCUAUGUUGUGCAACACAAAUUGGAGCCUUGUUGAUCAUGUCCUUAUUCCAAUUAGAAUGUCCAAUUCAGCUCAUUGGAUUUUGUGUCAUUUCGACAUUUAACAUGUGUGUCUUAAUGUAUAUAAUUUGUACAAAAAGAUUGUGAGGAAGACAUUAGUACUUGAGGCUAUUAAACCAUUUUCUGAUAUCAUUCCUAAUCUUCUCUUUCAUACUGGCUUCUUUGAGGGAAAGGACGUUUCGGAAGAAGAAGGUUUGAACCCAUUAGUUGUAAAAAUGGUUUCAAAACUUCCACAACAAAAUAAUGGUGGAGAUUGUGGAAUCUAUGUAAUUAAGUAUGCCCAGUACUUCAUCAAUGGAAUGUUAAAUGAGAUGUCAAAGUCUUUUAAUGUUCCACAUCUUAGAAGAAAUUUGACAGCUCAAUUAUAUGUUUAUGGAAAGAAGAAGCAAGAAGAGGAAUAUGAUACAAAUAAUGAAUGGGGGUCAAAGGAGAUGAAAUACCUAUAUCCUGAUGUGAUAGAUAAGUAGGUGAUUUUGAGGAAGUGAAGAAACUUGUCUUGUUUUUGUAAUGACAUGUCUUGAUUUGUAAUGACUGAUUUGAUUUGGUUGGUAGUUGAUGUUUUGUAUAUAA